rnacentral:rRNA from 1 species
CCUGAGAAACCCAAAAGAUCGAAUGGGGAGAUUCAUCGUCAGCUCAUUUUGUAUAUGUAUGAGUUAUGAUGCGGGUUACUACUUGUAGUAUUGCCUGCACAUUCUUGUAUAUUUAUUUGCAAGAUGUUGUCGGCGUGCACUUCUCCCCUAGUAGGACGUCGCGACCUGUUGGGUGUCGGUCUACGGCCCAAGUGAUAGCCUUUAAUGUAAUUUAAAAAGCAUUGAAGAUCCUUGGUGUUUUCUGACCGGCUACUUGGCAGUAUUCGUACGGUAUUUAGCCGCUAAAUUUUAAUUAAGCGUCCAUAUCUAUUACAAGCGAGGCUAAUUUACUGAUAGUACGGACCUAGUGCCGUCGUUGGUAUUGGCCAGCUGUUGGUUGAUAGUAUUCUAGGACUGGCUAAAAUUUAUUACCGGUCGGCGAUGCUACUGCUUUGGGUACUUUCAG